GAUGAACGCUGGCGGCGUGCUUAACACAUGCAAGUCGAACGGAAAGGCUCCUGCUUGCAGGGGUACUCGAGUGGCGAACGGGUGAGUAACACGUGGGUGAUCUGCCCUGCACUUCGGGAUAAGCCUGGGAAACUGGGUCUAAUACCGGAUAGGACGAUGGUUUGGAUGCCAUUGUGGAAAGUUUUUCGGUGUGGGAUGAGCUCGCGGCCUAUCAGCUUGUUGGUGGGGUAAUGGCCUACCAAGGCGUCGACGGGUAGCCGGCCUGAGAGGGGGGACGGCCACAUUGGGACUGAGAUACGGCCCAGACUCCUACGGGAGGCAGCAGUGGGGAAUAUUGCACAAUGGGCGCAAGCCUGAUGCAGCGACGCCGCGUGGGGGAUGACGGCCUUCGGGUUGUAAACUCCUUUCGCUAGGGACGAAGCGCAAGUGACGGUACCUGGAGAAGAAGCACCGGCUAACUACGUG
rnacentral:rRNA from 1 species